GGUGCUGUGGCAUAGUGGGUAAAGCCGCUGCCUGCAAUGCCGGCAUCCCAUAUAGGUGCUGGUUCGAGUCCUGCCUGCUCUA
rnacentral:tRNA from 1 species